rnacentral:ncRNA from 1 species
UUUGACCAGUUUGUUGGGGGUUUCGUAUCUUUAACUGAUCGGCGACUCGUGGAAUCCGGUGAGAAUCCGGGACGGUCGCGCCACUGUGAUCACCCGCGGGUGUGAGUCAGACCCCGGGCCGCCGAAAUGUCAUAUCG